UGGGGGAUCGUCUAAUGGUAGGACAGCGGAUUCUGACUCCGCUAAUCUAGGUUCGAGCCCUAGUCCCCCAGCCA
rnacentral:tRNA from 1 species